UACGGAGGGGGCUAGCGUUGUUCGGAAUUACUGGGCGUAAAGCGCACGUAGGCGGCUUUGUAAGUUAGAGGUGAAAGCCCCAGGGCUCAACCCUGGAAUUGCCUUUAAGACUGCAUCGCUUGAACAUCGGAGAGGUAAGUGGAAUUCCGGAGUGUAGAGGUGAAAUUCGUAGAUAUUCGGAAGAACACCAGUGGCGAAGGCGACUUACUGGACGAUUGUUGACGCUGAGGUGCGAAAGCGUGGGGAGCAAACAGG
rnacentral:rRNA from 1 species